rnacentral:rRNA from 1 species
AUGCAAGUCGAGGGGCAGCACAUGCGUAGCAAUACAAUGGUGGCGACCGGCGCACGGGUGAGUAACACGUAUGCAACCUACCUGUAAGAGGGGAAUAACCCGGAGAAAUCCGGACUAAUACCGCAUAAUACUAAUUUUCUGCAUGGGCGAUUAGUUAAACAUUUAUGGCUUACAGAUGGGCAUGCGUAUGAUUAGUUAGUUGGUGAGGUAACGGCUCACCAAGACAUCGAUCAUUAGGGGUUCUGAGAGGAAGGUCCCCCACACUGGUACUGAGACACGGACCAGACUCCUACGGGAGGCAGCAGUGAGGAAUAUUGGUCAAUGGGCGAGAGCCUGAACCAGCCAAGUCGCGUGAAGGAAGACGGUUCUAUGGAUUGUAAACUUCUUUUGUAAGGGAAUAAAGUGCAGUACGUGUACUGUUUUGUAUGUACUUUACGAAUAAGGAUCGGCUAACUCCGUGCCAGCAGCCGCGGUAAUACGGAGGAUCCAAGCGUUAUCCGGAUUUAUUGGGUUUAAAGGGUGCGUAGGCGGACCCAUAAGUCAGUGGUGAAAGUUUGCAGCUUAACUGUAAAAUUGCCGUUGAAACUGUGGGUCUUGAGUGUAAAUAAAGUAGACGGAAUGUGUUGUGUAGCGGUGAAAUGCUUAGAUAUAACACAGAACACCAAUUGCGAAGGCAGCUUACUGGGAUACAACUGACGCUGAGGCACGAAAGCGUGG